AUUUUUUGGUUAAGUGGUAAAGUGCUGGGUUCACGUGGUGGACUUACUCAAGGGGUUGAAGGUUCGAUUCCUUUCGUGGUAAAAAUA